ACUCCCAACCAUUGUGAACCUACCACUGUUGCUUCGGCGGCCUCGCCCCGGGCGCGUUCGCGCGGCCCGGACCCAGGCGUCCGCCGGAGGCUCCAAACUCUUGUCUUUUAGUGUAUUUCUGAGUGGCAUAAGCAAAUAAAUCAAAACUUUCAGCAACGGAUCUCUUGGUUCUGGCAUCGAUGAAGAACGCAGCAAAAUGCGAUAAGUAAUGUGAAUUGCAGAAUUCAGUGAAUCAUCGAAUCUUUGAACGCACAUUGCGCCCGCCAGUAUUCUGGCGGGCAUGCCUGUCUGAGCGUCAUUUCAACCCUCAGGACCCGUUCGCGGGACCUGGCGUUGGGGAUCAGCCUGCCCCUGGCGGCGGCUGGCCCUGAAAUCCAGUGGCGGUUCCCUCGCGAACUCCUCCGUGCAGUAAUUAAACCUCUCGCGGCAGGAUAGCGGUUGAACCACGCCGUUAAACCCCCCACUUCUCAAGGUUGACCUCAGAUCAGGUAGGAAUACCCGCUGAACUUAAGCAUAUCA
rnacentral:rRNA from 1 species